UUUGAUCAUGGCUCAGAUGAACGCUGGCGGCGUGCUUAACACAUGCAAGUCGAACGGUGAAGCCCCGCUUGCGGGGUGGAUCAGUGGCGAACGGGUGAGUAACACGUGAGCAAUCUGCCCCUGACUCUGGGAUAAGCGCUGGAAACGGCGUCUAAUACCGGAUAUGAACUGCCAUCGCAUGGUGAGCGGUUGGAAAGAUUUUUCGGUCUGGGAUGAGCUCGCGGCCUAUCAGCUUGUUGGUGAGGUAAUGGCUCACCAAGGCGUCGACGGGUAGCCGGCCUGAGAGGGUGACCGGCCACACUGGGACUGAGACACGGCCCAGACUCUACGGGAGGCAGCAGUGGGGAAUAUUGCACAAUGGGCGGAAGCCUGAUGCAGCAACGCCGCGUGAGGGAUGACGGCUUCGGGUUGUAAACCUCUUUUAGCAGGGAAGAAGCGAAAGUGACGGUACCUGCAGAAAAAGCGCCGGCUAACUACGUGCCAGCAGCCGCGGUAAUACGUAGGGCGCAAGCGUUAUCCGGAAUUAUUGGGCGUAAAGAGCUCGUAGGCGGUUUGUCGCGUCUGCUGUGAAAUCUGGAGGCUCAACCUCCAGCCUGCAGUGGGUACGGGCAGACUAGAGUGCGGUAGGGGAGAUUGGAAUUCCUGGUGUAGCGGUGGAAUGCGCAGAUAUCAGGAGGAACACCGAUGGCGAAGGCAGAUCUCUGGGCCGUAACUGACGCUGAGGAGCGAAAGGGUGGGGAGCAAACAGGCUUAGAUACCCUGGUAGUCCACCCCGUAAACGUUGGGAACUAGUUGUGGGGUCCAUUCCAC
rnacentral:rRNA from 1 species